ACACAGCAUAACAGAUCAAACUAUAACAAGUAUUAUUUGAUAGAGACAUUUCACUGCACUUUGUCUCUUAGCGCACAGUUUGCUCUUGUUAAAUUUUCAGUCUGACAGGAACCCACGACACGUAGCAGAGCUUUAUUUGCACGCAUGACAGACAACUUACAAAUUCUCUUAAUUUUUUACAUUUUAUCUGCUGUUUCAGAGCGUCUUUCUGUCACGUCUUGCUGAAGCAAGACGUCAUAGGCGGCUACGACAGGUGCGGAGGAAGGCUACAAACAAAGAAACAACUGAGGCUUCAGUUGAUGUGGUCGUUGCACAAAAUGUCGAUCCCGAAUCUGCAUUACAAGAACUGGCAGCUAUGGAAGAAGUGCUUGGUCCUAACGGGACUUUUGAUACCCAAAGAGUUGCAGUUCUUCUGCACAGCACACUGACCCAGCGCAAAAAUGACCCUCCACUUACCCUGCCAUGCUAUUUUCUCAAUGAGGAUAUUCUUACAGUGGAAGCUCAGCUCAGGUUUGCAACGACAAUGGAUGAUGCCAUUUACCAUCUCAACAAGGCCAAACAAAUCAUUGGUGAAAUGUGCAACCACCCGAUGGACUUCUGUGACAUUGAUAACUACCUGCGUGGGACUCAUGCAAAAUCUUCAUUGAUA